CCUAAACCUCAGGCUACUGUUUCCCCAGAUGGCAUAGGUCUGGGGUCGGGGGCACCAAGGCCGACUUGCCCCUCUCUCUCCUGGGUGCCUGAUUGCUGGGGCCCCAGCAGCUACCCCUCCUCAACAUAAGCCUCUAUCACAUCACAAUCGGAUGCCCGAGCAAUGCUCCCAGUGCCAGGGUAGCAGGUGCCCUGACCUGUCCUUGCUGGCUCCCCGUCCUCCAAAUAGGUUACCCCAGGGAUGGAGAAAAGUCAUGAAGUGCUGUCCCUGGUACUCCCCAGAUGCCAUCUAGGCCCACUCUCGUGGUUAAUGCCCCCACUAGACCGGGAGCCCCAAGUCGGCAGGGUCCCAGACUGUCCUUUGUGUUAACAAAGCCUGGUACAUGGUAGGUGCUCAAGAAACCGAUAUGGAAUGAAUGGACGAAGAAGCUCCAUGAAGCAGGAUCUAGCUACAAGCCACCAGGUCCCCCAAGCCUCUGCCUCUGCAUGAGCUCACUUGACUCAUCCUCAGCUUUCUCACAAGGCUCAGAGGCUCAGACACUUCUCCCCUGUUCGCAGCCUCUUAAGAAAACUCCCCAACAAAGUCAUCUGGAUAUUGGAGUCAUGUCUGCCAGGAUUUCAAAGGCAAGGUCCACAUCCACCACGCUCCUGUUCAUCCCUCAGCCUUCUACGUCACCUCCACAGGGAGCCUUCCUUGAUCCCUCACCUUUUUUAAGUGCUUAUCAUACCCAGGCUUGUCUGAUCCUGGGCUGAGUUCUUAAACCUGUCCAAAAGUUGUCCUCGAGGUCACAUCAAGUGACCUUCUCUAAGUUUCUGUUUCUCGGUCUGGAAAAUGGGCUUGGCGGACCAAUGAGAGAAUGAAGCCAGCUACGUUCAUAGCACGGGGCCCAGACUAGGCUGGAGCUGCCUGGGUGGGAUCCCAGGUCAAUCCCACCACCCACUGCAGUUUCCAGUUUUCAUCUCAAAAGUGGACAAAUCAAAACAAGAAAACAAACAAAAAAUACCCUGUGUGCUCCAGCCAAAUCGAUGCCCCGAUUUCCUGAAUGUCUCUCCUCUGGGCCUCUGCUCAUGCUGUUCCCACUGCCUGGAAAGCUGUUCACCUGCCUGCCGCCGGCCUGAUCUUUAGGUCUCAGCUUGGGAGCCUGCUCCUCAGAGAGGCCCUCUGGCUGGGUUGGACAUGGCCUCAGGGCUCCCCCAGUGCCUGGGAGCCCCCAUGACCGUCCUGAUCGUCAUCGUCCUCCGCUGUCCUGCUAGUAGACUUCAAGACUGCACAACGCCCCUAAACUCCCUCCCGCUGCCCCUUUGUGUCAGCCCCUCCCCCCAGCCCCAGCCCCAGCCCAACACUGAUCUGCUCUCCCACACUGGAGUCCUGUCUUUCUGAGAAUGUUCUAUAAAUGGAAUCAUACAAUAUGUAGCCUUUCGAGUCUGGCCCCUUUCACUGCAGCAUAAAGCAUUUGAGCAUAAAGCUUUGUGGCCUGUAUCAAUACUUUGUUCCUUUUUGUUACUGAAGAAUAUUCCAUUGUACCCAUGGGCUCCGGUUUGUUUCACAUUCGCCCAUUGAAGGACAAUUGGGUUGUUUCCAGCUAUUGGUGAUUAUGAAUAAAGCUUCUAUAAAUAAUCGUGUACA
ensembl:lncRNA